CUUCCAUUCCUGUUGCACUUCUUCCAACAAUUGUGGUGUCGGAGCCUAUUGGAAUCCCCAGUGAAUGUCUCCUCUUGAAGAAUAUGUUUGAUCCGACCAUGGAGAUGGACCCAUAGUAUGAUUUGAAAAUCAAAGAUGAUGUUGAGGCAGAAUGUUCCAAAUAUGGUCCAGUUCUGCAUAUUCAUGUUGACAAGAAUAGUGCUGGUUAUGUAUAUCUUCGAUUCGAAACCAUUCAAGCUUCUACAGCUGCUCAAGCAGCAAUGCAUAAGAGGUGGUUUGCACGCAAGAUGAUCUCAGCAGUAUUUUCG